UUCCACUGAGCAUUUCUUGCUGCAGAUGCACCUCUGCAAGAUGCAAAACAACAAACCAACCCAUUCUUCUCUCUAUAUAUCCCUUAUUCCUCACUUGUAUCUCCUCAGCCCUGAUCUCUCUCCCCUGGCUCUUAUAUCCACUGUAUGCUGCCUGUCUUGCUAGAUCUAGCUUUCAAAUGCCCCAGCUCACUGCUAAAUGGCAUAUUGAUUGGUCAUGUUCCUCAUCAUGGCUCUAGAUCUCAUGGUUGUGCUUUUACACUUUCGCAGGACUUGAGAAAGCAAGAGAGUGGGAUCAGCUUGCUGUGUUUUUCUUGAUUUAUUGAUGUAUGUGGUUGGUUCAUUUCUCUGUAGCUUUGAUUUGUUCCCUUCUAGCUAGGGGAGCAUUGGGUUAAUUGCAUGCGAUAUGGGCAUGUGUGCAUAGCCCACAUGUGUUUGUCUAUGUGUCUCCAUCUAGCUUUCAUGUCUAUACUGAUUUGAUGAUAGGUUCAUGAGAGGUAGAAUAAAUCAACCUUUAUAUCACUUGGAUCGAUUUCUAUCUGUAUGCAUCAAUCUCAGGACAAGUAAGAACAGGUUUUUCAACUUGGUUGGAGUUCUGCUGGGAAGAUUACCAGCUGAGUACUUAUUGACUUCUGGUGAUGUGCUCUCUCACUGGUCUCUCUUUUAGAAUCUACAGAAGAUGAUCGACAUACCUGACAGUGACUAUUCAAGACUGUUAAUCAGCUGAUCAGGUGAUGUAUAAAGCUUAAUAGAGGGGGAGGAACUUACUGACCUCACAAUAUUUGUGUGGGUGUCUGCAAAUUAAAGGCAACAAUAGCCUUUUUGAGAUGCAGCUGAUGGUGGCCUGGAAGAAAAGAAGCCCUUAAAAGAAGAGAUGAGGCCUCCUCUUCCAUCUCAAGUGCUUAAGAAUCGCACUGACGCUCCCCUCGUGCCACGGUGUAUUGUAUAUGCCCUCCAAGUACAGCAGCAAGUGCACCUGCUGCUCAACUUUUGAUAUGCUGUUCUGGGCUGCCCUUCCCCAUGUUGUUUCCUCUCCCAUCUAUGUGCUGAUGUUAAAGUACAAUAUGUUCAGGCAUCGCAAUGCGUGCCCCAUAAUUAAUUUGUGUCAUAUACAUGUUCA